GUCAGUUGGAAAGUUAAUUAAUUGCCAUAUAGUAGUGGCCAAAAGUGAUGUCCGGCCUAGGAAAUUUCACCCUUAAUUAAAA